rnacentral:rRNA from 1 species
ACGCUAGCUACAGGCUUAACACAUGCAAGUCGAGGGGCAGCAUUUUAGUUUGCUUGCAAACUGAAGAUGGCGACCGGCGCACGGGUGAGUAACACGUAUCCAACCUGCCGAUAACUCCGGAAUAGCCUUUCGAAAGAAAGAUUAAUACCGGAUAGCAUACGAAUAUCGCAUGAUAUUUUUAUUAAAGAAUUUCGGUUAUCGAUGGGGAUGCGUUCCAUUAGUUUGUUGGCGGGGUAACGGCCCACCAAGACUACGAUGGAUAGGGGUUCUGAGAGGAAGGUCCCCCACAUUGGAACUGAGACACGGUCCAAACUCCUACGGGAGGCAGCAGUGAGGAAUAUUGGUCAAUGGGCGAGAGCCUGAACCAGCCAAGUAGCGUGAAGGAUGAAGGCUCUAUGGGUCGUAAACUUCUUUUAUAUGGGAAUAAAGUUUUCCACGUGUGGAAUUUUGUAUGUACCAUAUGAAUAAGGAUCGGCUAACUCCGUGCCAGCAGCCGCGGUAAUACGGAGGAUCCGAGCGUUAUCCGGAUUUAUUGGGUUUAAAGGGAGCGUAGGUGGAUUGUUAAGUCAGUUGUGAAAGUUUGCGGCUCAACCGUAAAAUUGCAGUUGAAACUGGCAGUCUUGAGUACAGUAGAGGUGGGCGGAAUUCGUGGUGUAGCGGUGAAAUGCUUAGAUAUCACGAAGAACUCCGAUUGCGAAGGCAGCUCACUAGACUGUCACUGACACUGAUGCUCGAAAGUGUGGGUAUCAAACAGGAUUAGAUACCCUGGUAGUCCACACAGUAAACGAUGAAUACUCGCUGUUUGCGAUAUACAGUAAGCGGCCAAGCGAAAGCAUUAAGUAUUCCACCUGGGGAGUACGCCGGCAACGGUGAAACUCAAAGGAAUUGACGGGGGCCCGCACAAGCGGAGGAACAUGUGGUUUAAUUCGAUGAUACGCGAGGAACCUUACCCGGGCUUAAAUUGCAACAGAAUAUAUUGGAAACAGUAUAGCCGUAAGGCUGUUGUGAAGGUGCUGCAUGGUUGUCGUCAGCUCGUGCCGUGAGGUGUCGGCUUAAGUGCCAUAACGAGCGCAACCCUUAUCUUUAGUUACUAACAGGUCAUGCUGAGGACUCUAGAGAGACUGCCGUCGUAAGAUGUGAGGAAGGUGGGGAUGACGUCAAAUCAGCACGGCCCUUACGUCCGGGGCUACACACGUGUUACAAUGGGGGGUACAGAAGGCGGCUACCUGGUGACAGGAUGCUAAUCCCAAAAACCUCUCUCAGUUCGGAUCGAAGUCUGCAACCCGACUUCGUGAAGCUGGAUUCGCUAGUAAUCGCGCAUCAGCCAUGGCGCGGUGAAUACGUUCCCGGGCCUUGUACACACCGCCCGUCAAGCCAUGAAAGCCGGGGGUACCUGAAGUACGUAACCGCAAGGAGCGUCCUAGGGUAAAACUGGUAA